UAGCAGCAAAAAAGUCUCUCUCUCUCUCUCUCUCUCUCUCUCUCUCUCUCUCUAUAUAUAUAUAUAUAUAGAGAGAGAGAGAGAGAGAGAGAGAGAGAGAGAGAGAGAGAGAUAGAUAGAUAGA